UCCACCCCCACCUUCCCUGUCCCUGGGAAAAGCCACGAGCUGAUAACGUGAAGUGGGGGGGAGGGGUGUCUCUGUGUGUCUGUCUGUGUGUCUGUGUGUCCUACUUGGCAAAUUGGAGGAACAAACUAGUUGGAUUCUUAGGCCAUUCUGAAGCCUUUGACCCUCACUGGACCUCAGUUUCCUCAUCUAUAAAAUGAAUGGGUUUGACCAGUGAUCCUCUGAGGUCCCUGGGAAUUCUAGAGUUCAGAAGCCGUGAAGUUGUGCUCCCCUAGAUUCUCUUUUGGAAGCGGAGACGUGCAGAAUUAAAGUAGGGGAAAGGCAGAGAGAGUUAAGGAAACUAGAGCCCCCCGAGUCACGGACGUUUGUCUCAAGUCAGAGAAAUGCUCGGCCCAAAGAGCCUGGGGCCGUUCGCAUUGUCCAGGUACCGCUCACAGCCUGGCCGGGCAAAGAAGGGAGAUGGCCGAGGCUGAGGUUGGUGAGACCGGCUGAUGUGCUUGUGCAGAGGAAGUGGGCCGUGGCCUGGGGUUCCAUCCCCCCAGGCCCAUCUUGGAAAAUCAACUUGACCUUGGAAUGCAUCUGGCUUUCAGGCUUUUAGUCACAUACAACUCUUCGUGAUCCCGUUUUGGGCGAUUUUCUUGGCAAAGACAUUGCAGUGGUUUACCAUUUCCUUUUCAUUUUAUAGAGGAGGAAACUGAGGGAAACGGGGUUAAAUGACUUGCCUAGGGUCACUUAGUUACUAAGUGUCUGAACUCAGGAAGGUGAAUCUUCCCGACUCCAGGCCCACCUGUCUAUCUACUGUGCCACCAGCUGACAUCAAUGGAUCUGGCUAUGCAAGAAAAUGAUUUUGGGCCAUACAACAUAUACUCUGUUGUAUUCUACUUGAUAAGCACUUGUAACUGUAAAGUAACUCUAGGAUCAUUGAUUCAGAGGCAUCUGGUCCAAUCCCCUCUUUUUACAGAUCAGGAAACUAAGUCCCAGAUAAAGAGAGUGACUUAAGGAUCCUUUGAUCAUAAGUUGAGGGCUGGAAGACCUCUGAGGCUAUAGACCUCUUCAUCUUACAAGAGAGGAAACUGAGUCCUAGCUAUGAGGAACUGGGAUAUAACCUAGAUGCCAGUUAGUACAACCCUCUUAUUUUUCUAGAUAAGAAAAUUGAGACCCAGAAAAGUAAAGUCAUUUGGUCAGCAAGCAUUUAUUAAGCACCUGCUGUAUGCCAAAUCCCGUGCUAAGAACUGAAGAAACAAAGAAAGGCAAAAGACAUUCCCUGCCCUUGAGGAACUCAAAGUCUAACAACAGGGAAACCAGGUAUACCAAGAAGACGUAUACAGUGCAAGUGAGAGAUAAUCAACACAGAUUAAGGAGGACCGAGAAGGGCUUCUUAUGGAAGGUGGGGUUUCAGCUGAGACUAGAAGGAAACCAGGGAGCCAGAAAGUAAAGGUGAGAAGGGAGAGUGGCAGAGGUGGAAGUGACAAGAGACGCUGUGGAGGUGAAAUGGACGAGAUGUGGCAGAGGUGGACGUGACAAGAGACGCUGUGGAAGUGAAAUGGACGAGAUGUGGCAGAGGUGGACGUGACAAGAGACGCUGUGGAGGUGAAAUGGACGAGAUGUGGCAGAGGUGGAUGUGACAAGAGACGCUGUGGAAGUGAAAUGGACGAGAUGUGGCAGAGGUGGAACUGACGAGAUGUGGCAGAGGUGGAAGUGACGAGAUGCUGUAGAAGUGGAAUGGACAAGAGAUAUGGCAGAGGUGGAACUGACAAAGUUAUGGCAGAAGUGAAAGUGAUAAGAGGUGUGGCAGAAGUGGAAUUGACGAGAGAUGCCAUGUGGCUGAACUGAAAUUGACAGGGUGAGAGAUAAUGAAGGUGAGUCCCAGGUUGCAAGUUUGGGUGACUGGGAGAAUGAUGCUGCUCUGGACAAUUAUAGGGAAAUUCAGAAAAGGAGAGAUGAGAGGGAACUGAGUUCAGUUUUAAACAAAUUAACUGUGAUGUUCAGGGAUGUCCGAUGGGCAGGUGAAGUUGUGAGUCUGGAUGUCAUGAGAGAGGGUGAGUGUAUCUCACAAUCAUCAGCAGAGAGAUGGUUAUUGAUCUGAGCUAAGAUCACAAAUAAGAUAGUACGGCAGGAGAAAUGGGCAUGACCCAGAUGAAGACCAGCAAAGGAGACAGAAGGAGCAGGCAGAUCGGUAGGAGGAAAACCAGAAGAGCCUCGUGUCCCCAAAACCUGGAGAGAAGAGAAAACUAAGGAGGAGAGGGCGAUCAACAGUGCUGUAGACUUCAGCUGACAAGGAGGAGGAGGACUGAGAAAAGACCACGGGAUUUGGCAAUUGAGAGACUGCCGGUAAUUUCGGAGAUGGCAGUUCUGGUUGAAUGAUGAGGUUGAAAACCAGACCAGCUAGAGAACUAAGAGAGCAAGAGCAGGGAAAGUGAAGGUACCUUUUGUAAACGGCCUUCUGGGGAAGUUGAACCACAAAAGACAGGAUAGAUAGGAAGCACAGAAAGGAUGGAUGGAACAAGGAAGGAACAAGUGAAACAUGGACAUGUUUCAGCCAACAUUUAUUAAGCACCUGCUGUAUUCAAGGCACUGCGCCAAGUGCUAGGAAUACAAAUAUCUGUAAUCAUAGAGCUGCCAUAGUAGAGACUGAGUAUAAAUGGGAGAGGGGAUACUCUGCCAGAGAAGAGAGGAUGGAAGGGAAUGACUCGUGCACAAAGAAGGGAGAAGAAUCACCUUGUCAUGUGAGGCGGGGAUGAAGGAGGAGACAGUAACAAAAGGUACCUGAGUGAUGAGAGAUGAAGGGGAGAAGGACCUUACAUGGAAUGGCCAAAAACAUAACGAAGUCCUCGGCUGAGAGGGGAGGAGAAGCCCCGAGAGGUUGGAGGAGGGAUGAGAAGGAUUGGAAAAGCAAAGGUGAUGAGUGGGAGAGUGAGCCGAAUGCGAGGGGUGGAAAGAUUGCCUUGCCAUAGUGAGGGCCCAUGGGAAGUUGUGUUUCAUCGAUCUGUAGUGGACUCGAUCAGGACCGGUUCAUGGUUUUCUCUAGUAAUAAGUGAGCAGGCAAAAGCAGCAGAUGUUUGAGGUUUGUUCAAGAUCACAUAGUGACAGGCCCGGGAUCUGAACUCGGAUGCAGGGGAAGCGCAAUCCAUGCUUCGGGCCAGGCCUUUCUCGACCAUCUUCUGGAUAAGUCGCCUUCUGGCUCGUUCAGUCACUCAGUCAGUGCACAUUUAUUACAGGAUCAUAGAGCUCGAAGAGGCCUUGGAGGCCCAAGUCUACAUUCUACAGUUAAAAGAAACUAAGGUUGGAAAGUAUCAGGGGCAGGAUCUGAACUCAAGUCCUCAAACUUCAUAUCCAUCGCCCUAACCGUUGGACCAUGCUGCAUCAGUCAGAAAACUGGUGACUUGAACUGGCCCACUCUUUGCUGUCGGACGGUUUCCAUGGAGAGAAGAAGAAGGCAAUGUGAGCAAGCUCAGAGGGAGGAAGCCAUGGAGCAGUCACUGCUUGAGCACCUUGUGCCCGGCACUGUGCUGAUCCUAGAGACACAAAAAGCGAGCUCUGCCCUCAGGGAGCUUACCCUCCAAGCAGGGAAACAAUGGUACGGUAUCUAACUGUAGAAAGUAGUGCAGAAUACGUCGAGGUCAUCCGAAGGGGUAGGUUUUAGCAGCGGGAGCUCCCCGGGGGGUUGCUGAGGCCCCUGGGGAUUGUGGCGAGAGCCUGGCUUUGGGAGCUGAGAAGGUCGGGUAACUCGACUUUUCCACUUACUACCUACAGGCAAAUGAUUUUCCAUCUUUGGGGCUCAGUUUCCUUUUCUGUCAAAGGAGUUGGCCCGGAUGACAGACGUCACCCUUCUACUUCUUUGUCUUCCGUUUCUUUUUUGGACAUGGCCAAUACGAGGCUUUAGUUUAUUCCACCCCACGUGCUUGUACCAGGGAGUGAUUCUUUUUUGUGCUUUCUCAACGGAGUGUGGGGAGCUAAGGAAGGAUGGGAAGGAGGAAAGGCAGGCUUUGGUUGCGUAACAAAAUUUUCAUUCUAAAAAGCUUAAAUUUUUAAAAAAAGAAGAAAAAUCAAGAAAAAAGACAACUUUAGAUAUUUGGUAGGGGGCAGCUAGGUGACAUGGUGCAUAGAACUGUGGAUCUAGAGUCAAGGAGACUUGAGUUCAAAUCUGCUGAGACCCUGACUGGCUGUGUUUUCUUGGGCAAGUCACUUAACACUGUUUGCCUCAGUUUCUUCAUCUGUAAAAUAAGCAGAAGGAAAUGGCCAACACUCUGGUACUUUUGGGUCGUGAAGAGUUGUCUGUGACUGAAAAAUGACUAAAAAAGAAAACGAUCUUCAAUCAAAGACACUUGACCUCCCUGGCCCUCGGUUUCUUCAUCUGUUAAAUGCUGAUCUCUAAGGGGUUUGGGUCUCUGAGGUUUUCUCCGGCUCUCGAGCCGGGUCCUGGGCAUUGUUGGGCCUGGAAGCGUCUGGUCAGGCAGGAAAUGGGCAGUGGGAGUGAGGCUUUGAGGGCCGGGCUGCCGAGGGUCAGCCGGGAGCUGCCGAAGGCCUUAGGGCCGAGGCCGGGGUGGCCCCUGAAGCCCCCUCUUGCUUUCCU